UACGUAGGUGGCUAGCGUUGUCCGGAUUUACUGGCGUAAAGAGCGCGCAGGCGGUCGUUCAAGUCGAGUGUGAAAGCCCCCGGCUCAACUGGGGAGGGUCACUCGAUACUGAUCGACUCGAAGGCAGGAGAGGGAAGCGGAAUUCCCGGUGUAGUGGUGAAAUGCGCAGAUAUCAGGAGGAACACCGGUGGCGAAGGCGGAUCUCUGGGCCGAUACUGACGCUGAGGAGGCGAAAAGCGUGGGGAGCGAACAGG
rnacentral:rRNA from 1 species